rnacentral:rRNA from 1 species
GACGAACGCUGGCGGCGUGCUUAACACAUGCAAGUCGAACGGUAAGGCCCUUCGGGGUACACGAGUGGCGAACGGGUGAGUAACACGUGGGUGAUCUGCCCUGCACUCCGGGAUAAGCCUGGGAAACUGGGUCUAAUACCGGAUAGGACCACUGCCUGCAUGGGUGGUGGUGGAAAGCUUUUGCGGUGUGGGAUGGGCCCGCGGCCUAUCAGCUUGUUGGUGGGGUGAGGGCCUACCAAGGCGACGACGGGUAGCCGGCCUGAGAGGGUGACCGGCCACACUGGGACUGAGAUACGGCCCAGACUCCUACGGGAGGCAGCAGUGGGGAAUAUUGCACAAUGGGCGCAAGCCUGAUGCAGCGACGCCGCGUGAGGGAUGACGGCCUUCGGGUUGUAAACCUCUUUCAGCACCGACGAAGCGCAAGUGACGGUAGGUGCAGAAGAAGGACCGGCCAACUACGUGCCAGCAGCCGCGGUAA